GGCAGUGUGGAACCGGGCGACCACCCCUGGCUAGAGUCCGCCUCCGGACACCAGAUCCCCGGGGUCCCCCAGAGCCCGCACCCAAGUCUCCUCCGCGGUCCCCAGAUACAGCCUCCACCCCACCCACCCACUCAAGCCUCGACGGCUGAAAAGGCGCCCGAGAAGAGCAGCCCGCGAGCACCCACCACAUCCAUUAACAAAGACUCUCAGGGUGCGGGGCCGAGUCCCCGGCAUGGGCUGGGGACGGCUGCGGGCUCCGGAGCGGGAGCGCAGAGACCCGAACGAGGCCCAGGCUAAAGGAGCAGCCCCGAUCUGAGACAUAGUAGCUCUGAAGAGGGUAGAAAACAGAGUUACAGGAAUUUCGUGAUGCCUCUUUAAGCUUCUGCUUAUAUGUGGGCAUUUGUUGCAUCAGCUCAUAUCCCAUUGGCUAAUGCAUGACAUGCAACCAAUACCAAAAUCAUUGAAUGGAGACAUACUACUCCAGAAGUCAAGAGCAUGGGCAGGAAGCCCUCCCCAGGACCUCUGACCUAUAUCUCAUUGACUGAAACCGUGUCAUUGGGUCACCCAUGGCUGCAAAGGAGUCCAGGAACGCAAGCCCUAUUAUCUUAUUUACUGAUUUCCAUAUGGAGGAAUAUUAAUAAGAUGGUUGGAAAUGCAUGGAGAGGCUGCUGCUGAGGGUAAUCUGUUUGCUGCUGUGCAACUGAAUGAGCUGGAGCUGCCACUGCAAAGCCUGCCGACCGCGGCAAACUGGAAGUAGUGCUCUGGUGAGAUGACAGAUCCACAGACAUCCCCAUUUGCUGUGUGUAAGCAGCUGCACCAGUAGCUGAUUGAAGGGGGUUGAAAGGAAGGGAGGUGGUGUACUUUUAAGGAGCACGUUGGAAUCCACCCAGGUUGCCUAUUACUAAGUAACAUGUCUUGCUGAAGAGCCACAGAAAACUAUAUACUCCCUUGAAGGGCAGCACAGUAUCACUUCAAGUUACCAUCAGAGAGAUGACCUUCUUCACCCCCAUCUCAGAACAGCAAGCAUUUUCCAGAACAGGAGAUGCAUCUGCAGUUAGUGGGCAUGGAAUGGAAAAUGCCAGCUGGCCCAUUCAGGAACUGAAAUUGAAGAGAGAACUGGUUAACAGACAUUUUAGGGCUUCCCCGGUGGCGCAGUGGUUAAGAAUCCCCCUCCAAUGCAGGGGAUACAGGUUCGAGCCCUGGUCCCGGAAGAUCCCACAUGCCGCGGAGCAACUAAGCCCCUGUGCCACAACUACUGAGCCUGCGCUCUAGAGUCCAUGAGCCACAACUACUGAAGCCCGCGCGCCUAGAGCCCGUGCUCUGCAACAAGAGAAGCCACCGCAAUGAGAAGCCUGAGCACUGCAACAAAGAGUAGCCCCCGCUCACUGCUACUAGAGAAAGUCCGCGCACAGCAACAAAGACCCAAUGCAGCCAAAAAUAAAUAAAUAAAAAUUAAGGGGAAAAAAAGAGUUAUUUUAGUUACUUUCAAGUUUGUUAUAAAUAACAUUGUGAAGAACACUCUAAGAGGUAAAUCUUUGCAUAUAUCCCUAUGUAUUUAGUAUUGCUGGGUUAAAAGAUAUAGACUAUGUUUAGGCUCCAGAAAGGUUUAUAAUAAUUGCACCCCUAACCACACCUAAGAUGAUACUAUCUUUCUUUUUAAUCUUUCCCAUUUGAUUAUUCACUGACCAUUAACAUGCCUUCAAUGAAACCAAAGUAACAGAUGUAUAGGUAGAUAUUCAAUGCUUUCUCCAAAAUAAGACCAAUAAAAUGU